GGCCUCAUGUAAUUGUAGAUUGUUAAUAUAUUUGGCUCACUGUUGUGUAUCACUUCAUAAACUUGAAACUGAUUAUUGAAUCUGUUGUUUUGAUUUAAUACUUUUCAGUUUACAGUUUGGUACUCACUUGUGUUUGCGAGAGUCGAAUUUGUAGAAUAUAUCUGAUCAUAUGCAGAAUUAUAAGGUCAACAAUAUUAUGUAAUUCAGUAUAUAUAAAUAUCUGGUUGUAAACUUUUGUUUUCUCUUUAGUUUAUAUGUGGAAAUGUGAAAGUUCUGAGAGUCUUGGAUUAAUCUUGCAUUGUAGCUGCAGAGAAACAUAUUGCUGACAUCUCUAUAUGGAACCUGUAUAGUUUAAUGGCACCUAUACAUGGAACGUCAGACAUUGUCCAGCUGAGGUGUGUUGUAUUUGGCAGACAGUGUAGCUAUGGUAUCAACGGGAGUAGCUUGGUGUUCUAUAUUGGUUAUGUUUUGAAGCACAGGAGUGACAAAAUUGUUGGUAUUUAAGCUACCAUGAUUGUCGAAUGAAGACGUGGAUAAGUUUGAGCCUGAAACUGGGAAGAGAUGGAUGGUGAAUAGAGGAUUGUGUGACAUCCAGCCGAUUGUUGCUCCCACUUAGUAUGCAGGAAUGUUGUUAUGUGGUGGUUGUGUCUAGCAGCAUACGAUGCUAGUGUUUGAAGAUUCGAAGAAGAAGGAUUACAAUG